rnacentral:lncRNA from 1 species
AUAACUCUGUUCACUCUCCUUACGCUCUCUCUAUCUCUCUCCCAAUUCUCGCAUAAUAUUACAGAAAAUCAAGAAAAAAUUCUCUCUUAAUUUCUUCAUUAUGUUUGCACCAAAUCCCUCUUAUCUUACCUCUUUUGUUUUCCCCAAAAGUAUUCACCUAUUUCACCCAAUUUCUCCAAGCCCUAGUUCCUACCCCUGUUCGAGAGUUUUCGAAUUCAUUAAGGAGAUUUGGAAGAUUUGAUUACAGGAAAAGAGAAUUUUCGAAUUCAUUAAUUUCCCCUUCUUCUCCGGGAAGUUUCAUAUCUAAUCCUUCGGUUCCCUCUUCUUCUUUGUAUUCGAUUCUCUUCAAAGAGUAAGGACUUUGGUGUUUACUGAGUUGAUGAUAAAUAAUAAGAUAUGCUUAUGUUUUUAAUUGAUUCAUAUGGUUUAGGAAUCGGAUUUAGGGAUCUAGGUCAAGAAAUAUAGAUUUCAAUAAACCCUAGUUCGAUUUCUAGAUUCGUAGCCCCAGAUUCCAGUGCAUUAUUC